rnacentral:tRNA from 1 species
GCAUCAGUAGUUAAGUGGUAUAAUUGCCGCCUCCCAAGCGGUAGUCCCGAGUUCGAUUCCCGGCUGAUGCA